rnacentral:rRNA from 1 species
UACGUAGGGGGCAAGCGUUGUCCGGAUUUAUUGGGCGUAAAGAGCGUGUAGGCGGCCACACAGGUCAGCUGUGAAAACUCGAGGCUCAACCUCGAGACGUCGGUUGAAACCGUAUGGCUAGAGUCCGGAAGAGGAGAGUGGAAUUCCCGGUGUAGCGGUGAAAUGCGCAGAUAUCGGGAAGAACACCCGUGGCGAAGGCGGCUCUCUGGGCAACAACUGACGCUGAGGAGCGAAAAGCGUGGG